CUCUGUCUCUGUAUUCCCAUAGCCUGCUUACAGACCUCCAUGACAUCACAUGAAAGGUACCAGCUAAACAGAUGUGGGGUGAUUAACCAUCCACUCCAGGGAACACAUGUGGGAAGGUAUUCGUCAGUGGAGCAGGUUUGCAAAUACACGACACACAAGACUCGCCACUGGCCUUAAUGAAGCAUGCAUCAUUCAAUGCUGAAAGCAAAUGAUGACGAGCUCCAUGAGGGCCAAGGCUGUCCAUUCUUGUUCACCACUGCACACUCAGGAGCAUGCUGGCUGUGCUAAUUCUAUCCUCAACAGAAUAAUUGCUGACAAACUUUCUUGCCCAGAAAAUGUCUAUUGGAAUUAUGGAGUACAAAAAAACUACAAAAGCAGUGAAAAAAAAGAAGGAUGUUUUAUUUACAUGCUAUUUCAAAACCAUUGCUUUCUUGGUAUUGUAUGUCUCUGCAGGCCCAAUAUGGCACAUCUGCAUAAGAAGUUUAGAAUUGUUCCUUAUGUUUCCUUCUAACAAACACUGGUGUUAAGUUUCAAGAAGUUGGUGAAAUGGAGACAGCCAAUCCAAAGACAGUGUUUGAAAACUGGG
rnacentral:antisense_RNA from 1 species